UGAAAAGGAAAAGAAAAAUCGUUACAAGGAGUAGCUGAAGCAGAGAAGUAAUGAACUCCCUUUUUCUUUUUCAAAUGAAAGUCUCGAAGGAAACUGCGAGAUAGAAAAUUACUGACUCGCUGCAGGUUGCCUUAUUUGGCCUAUAACUAGGCAUCAAUUUGCAUGUUGAAGAGGAGGCUAGGAGAUUGCUUGUGCUGAUUUAGUUUAUUUUUCCUUUUACUUUUGGACUCAUUUCGUGGGCUUAUUGGAGAGUUUUUCUUGUUGUAUUGUGAGGUUUUUGAGGUGAAUGAUUUGUAACAAGUUGGGAUUAGUUAUUGGGACUACAAUCACUUCUUUGUGUAAGGGUAGAUUGAGAUUUAACCAAUAACUUCUUGGAGCAAUUGUUGAAUAAAAUUAUUUACUAAGCAAGGUUUCGCGAA